rnacentral:rRNA from 1 species
AUUCCAGCUCCAAUAGCGUAUAUUAAAGUUGUUGCAGUUAAAAAGCUCGUAGUUGGAUUUCUGGUGGGCGGACAAGAGCGGCAUGAAGUGUCAGCUUGCGUUCCCCGCCAUCCUUCUGUUAAACCGGUACGGUGUUUGUUCGCUGACCGGCGGCUCAGAUAUUUUACCUUGAGAAAAUUAGAGUGUUUCAGGCAGGCUCGGCCGGGAUACAUUAGCAUGGAAUAAUGGAAUAGGACUCCAGCCUCUUCUGUUGGUCUGAGGGGUUGAAGUAAUGAUUAAUAGGGAUAGUUGGGGGCAUUAGUACUUAACUGUCAGAGGUGAAAUUCUUGGAUUUGUUAAAGACUAACUUAUGCGAAAGCAUUUGCCAAGGAUGUUUUCAUCA